UACGGGGGGGGGCAAGCGUUGUUCGGAAUUACUGGGCGUAAAGGGCGCGUAGGCGGCCGCCUAAGUCAGACGUGAAAUCCCUCGGCUCAACCGGGGGAACUGCGUCUGAUACUGGGUGGCUUGAAUCCGGGAGAGGGAUGCGGAAUUCCAGGUGUAGCGGUGAAAUGCGUAGAUAUCUGGAGGAACACCGGUGGCGAAGGCGGCAUCCUGGACCGGCAUUGACGCUGAGGCGCGAAAGCCAGGGGGAGCAAACGGG
rnacentral:rRNA from 1 species